CUAGGGGCAGAGCUAGGCUCCUGACUGCAAGGUACAUAGCUGUCACAACUAAUACAUUUAGAAAGGCAACUAGACUCAUGGCUGAUGUGACUGCAACCUGGUGCUCAGUGGCCUAAAUUCAUACUACCAGUAACUCAGAAACCAGUGUUCAAUCAAGCAGCAAACACUGUCAGAGGUCCAGUCCCUUGCUGAGCUGUUUGGUAAAUGGUAAGAAAAAUAGAGUGGAGGGUAAAAGGAAAGAGCCGUUAAUACACAAUGUGGCUGGGCUCUCAUUGGCGCUGUGUUCAGCGUCACCUUAUAUACUAAUAAAUGGGCAACAAGGAACAGUGCCUGACCACAACACACAACAAAACAGAAAGCAAAGUGGGUAAGAUAAUUAUCUCAACAGAUAACCUGCGGCUGCUUCAUGGAGGAGAUGCUAUUUGGCCAGACUUUAAGAGAUUUAUACACCGGAAAGGCCCUGUAGGGAAAAGCCACAUGGAAACGGCUGCUGUUCAGCUCAAGUUGGGAAUGUUUUCCUCUCUCUGGACUUCCAGUGCAAAAGCACUCGCUGAUUCUACAGCUUUCAGGUAUGUUUGAAAAUGUGAUUUUCUGUAAUUUAUCUAUCUUUCUAGUUUUUUUUUCAUUUUUAUUUAUUUUAAAAUUAAUUUAUUUAGUUUAAUUGUAGGCUAAUUGCUUUAUGAUAUUGUAGUGGCU
rnacentral:lncRNA from 1 species